AGCAGCCGCGGUAAUUCCAGCUCCAAUAGCGUAUAUUAAAGUUGUUGCAGUUAAAAAGCUCGUAGUUGAAUUUCGGGGUUAGUAGGUUGGUCGUGCCUUUGGUAUGUACUGGUCUCACUGAUUCCUCCUUCUUGAAGAACUGUAAUGUCAUUAAUUUGGUGUUGCAGGGAAACAGGACUGUUACUUUGAAAAAAAUUAGAGUGUUUAAAGCAGGCUAACGCCUGAAUACAUUAGCAUGGAAUAAUGAAAUAGGACGUUUGAUCCUAUUUUGUUGGUUUCUAGGAUUGACGUAAUGAUUAAUAGGGAUAGUUGGGGGCAUUAGUAUUCAAUUGUCAGAGGUGAAAUUUCUUGGAUUUUAUUGAAGACUGACUACUGCGAAAGCAUUUGCCAAGGAUGUUUUCAUUAAUCAAGAACGAAAGUUAGGGAUCGAAGACGAUCAGAUACCGUCGUAGUCUUAACCAUUAAACUAUGACCGACUAGGGAUCGGAUGAUGUUUAAUUUUUAUGACUCAUUCGGCGCC
rnacentral:rRNA from 1 species